rnacentral:rRNA from 1 species
UUUAGUUAGAGUUUGAUCCUAGCUCAGGAUGAACGCUGGCGACAUGGAUAAGGCAUGCAAGUCGAACGGAAACAUUUGAGAUUAUAUCAAUUUUGUUUUAGUGGCGAACGAGGUAGUAAUAUAUAGGUACGUCCCCCAAAGUCGAGAAUAACUCAUCGAAAGAUGAGCUAAUACUCGAUAGUCUCUACGGAGUAAAGUUUUAACGCUUUGGGAACGGUCUGUACGAUAUCAGCUAGUUGGUAGGGUAAUGGCCUACCAAGGCAACGACGUCUAGAGGAGCUGAGAGGCUGACCCUCACCGAUGGAACUGAGACACGGUCCAUACACCUACGGGUGGCUGCAGUCGAGAAUCUUCCGCAAUGGGCGCAAGCCUGACGGAGCGAUGUCGCGUGAUUGAUGAAGUCCUUCGGGAUGUAAAGGUCUUUUAUGAGGGAGAAAGUUAUUGAUAGUACCUCAUGAAUAAGGGGUUGCUAAACUCGUGCCAGCAGCAGCGGUAAUACGAGUGCCCCAAGCGUUAUCCGGAAUUAUUGGGUGUAAAGGGUGUGUAGGAGGUUGUAUUAGUCGUAUGUCAAAACUCUGGGCUUAACCUAGAAUCUGCACGCGAAACGGUACAACUAGAGGACGCGAGAGAUGUGUAGAACUCAUAGUGUAGGGGUGAAAUCCGUUGAUAUUAUGGGGAAUACCAAAAGCGAAGGCAGCACAUUGGCGCGCUCCUGACUCUGAAACACGAAAGCGUGGGUAGCGAAUGAGAUUAGAUACCUCAGUAGUCCACGCCCUAAACGAUGUUCAUUUGCUUUUCGGAGUAUCGACCCUCUGAGAGGCGUAGCUAACGCGUUA